rnacentral:rRNA from 1 species
AGGACGAACGCUGGCGGCGUGCUUAACACAUGCAAGUCGAACGGAAAGGCCCUUCGGGGUACUCGAGUGGCGAACGGGUGAGUAACACGUGGGUGAUCUGCCCUGCACUUUGGGAUAAGCCUGGGAAACUGGGUCUAAUACCGAAUAGGACCACGGCAUGCAUGUGCUGUGGUGGAAAGCUUUUGCGGUGUGGGAUGGGCCCGCGGCCUAUCAGCUUGUUGGUGGGGUGAUGGCCUACCAAGGCGACGACGGGUAGCCGGCCUGAGAGGGUGUCCGGCCACACUGGGACUGAGAUACGGCCCAGACUCCUACGGGAGGCAGCAGUGGGGAAUAUUGCACAAUGGGCGCAAGCCUGAUGCAGCGACGCCGCGUGGGGGAUGACGGCCUUCGGGUUGUAACCCUUUCAGUAGGGACGAAGCGCAAGUGACGGUACCUACAGAAGAAGCACCGGCCAACUACGCGCCAGCAGCCGCGGUAA